rnacentral:rRNA from 1 species
UGAGGAAUAUUGGUCAAUGGGCGAGAGCCUGAACCAGCCAAGUAGCGUGCAGGAUGACGGCCCUAUGGGUUGUAAACUGCUUUUAUAUGGGAAUAAAGUGAGGGACGUGUCCCUUAUUGCAUGUACCAUACGAAUAAGGACCGGCUAAUUCCUUGCCAGCAGCCGCGGUAAUACGGAAGGUCCAGGCGUUAUCCGGAUUUACUGGGUUUAAAGGGAGCGUAGGCUGUUUGUUAAGCGUGUUGUGAAAUGUAGGAGCUCAACUUUUAGAUUGCAGCGCGAACUGGCAGACUUGAGUGCGCACAACGUAGGCGGAAUUCAUGGUGUAGCGGUGAAAUGCUUAGAUAUCAUGACGAACUCCGAUUGCGAAGGCAGCUUACGGGAGCGCAACUGACGCUAAAGCUCGAAGGUGCGGGUAUCGAACAGG